UACCCCCUCCCUCCCAUCAAUCAUCUCCCCCCCCUCCCUCCCAUCAAUCAUCUGAGAUCUCAGAUGAUUGAUGGGAGGGAGGGGGGGGAGAUGAUUGAUGGGAGGGAGGGGGGGA